CGAGUUCCUAGUAUCAUAUCUAAUGAUCUAAAUUAAGGCAGAUGCUUCGAGAAAAGCCCCCUUCACAAAUACUCUUGAUGGUUUUCAAACAGAGUUCAUUACGUCGGAUCUUUAGGGAGUCUUUGUAGGACUAUCCUGSUGAGAUGUUUCUAAGAGCUCGUUUUUGGAGGCGUUCCGAGCAGGUGCACAACGUGAUGCCACACCUCAGCCCGUCAGUAAUAAUCCAACAAGGAACGAAUAARAGCAAAUUAGAGAACCAGUAGAUCUUCAGCAGGAAAUCCACCACGGCGGAUUCAGAUUAUUUAUUAAGGCAUUACACCUGCGAUUCAAUUAACUACUGUGAUCUUCGCGAGAAAUUCAGUUCUUCCUGUCUUCACUAUUGACGUUAAUACAGCAAGCUUCAAGCCGCUUUAGAAUCAAUUCUGAAGGCCUAACGAUCUUGAAGGAAAAAAGAGCCAAAUAACUCUGAUAGMUACUGAGGUAAGAGGCGAUAAGCAAAACUUUCAUCUAAUGAUUUUAAUAUUUAUAUCAUUAAACCAAUAUACACCUAUUUCAAAAAAAAAGUUGUAAAUUGGAGUUCUGAAAUGGGGGAACCUAGAUGAAACGAAAUUUU